rnacentral:rRNA from 1 species
AAUGGGCGCAAGCCUGAUCCAGCCAUGCCGCGUGAGUGAAGAAGGCCUUCGGGUUGUAAAGCUCUUUCGGCCGGGAAGAAAUCGCAUGGGCUAAUACCCUGUGUGGAUGACGGUACCGGAAUAAGAAGCACCGGCUAACUACGUGCCAGCAGCCGCGGUAAUACGUAGGGUGCGAGCGUUAAUCGGAAUUACUGGGCGUAAAGCGUGCGCAGGCGGUUUUUUAAGAUAGGCGUGAAAUCCCCGGGCUCAACCUGGGAACUGCGCUUAUGACUGGAAGACUAGAGUAUGGCAGAGGGGGGUGGAAUUCCACGUGUAGCAGUGAAAUGCGUAGAGAUGUGGAGGAACACCGAUGGCGAAGGCAGCCCCCUGGGCCAAUACUGACGCUCAUGCACGAAAGCGUGGGGAGCAAA